UCCAGAAUCACAAAAUCCUGAGGUGAAAUCCAACAGUAUUCCAGAUCCAAUUCGUAGAGAUUACGAUGCUAUUAUGACUGAAGAAGCUGAAUCUCAGGAUGGCCACUCACAACUGGACAGUGAUCCGGAUGAACACCUCACACUGACAAAUGCUGGCAUUGGACUUCAUUCACUCAGUAAAUGCUAGAAUCUAUUUCAACACAGAACG